CAGUCGCUGUCAGUUAUCAGUCAUCAGAGUGAAGAGGCCUUCCUAGAGGGUUUCUUGCUUUUGAAGACUUGACAAGCCCUUCUGCUCUUCUGUGGACACCCCUCACCCACCCAUAAUUUCAAGAUCCAUUGAAAUACCAGAGGGUAGCAUUAAUCAGAGGGCAAGGCUGCCAGGUACAUAUUUUGGCCAGACCAACAAUGCAUGCCAAACCACAGUGACCGAGGAAGAGAAAAAAAAUAUGGAUUUUCCUGGUCAAAAUGAAGCCCGGCAGGACAUAAGCAGAGUGGCCUGUGACAUUCACAUCCUCCUAUUUUGUCUCAGUUGGACAGUUUUUACCAUUGCUUAAAAACAACAAGAGAAGAUAGCAGACCAGAUCAACAUACCAGGCUGUCAUUAAUUAUUUUGAAAGAGAGAGGAAAGAAACUCAUCCACAAAUACCAACAACAUUUUAGAAUGCAACCACACCCCUUCUCAGAAAUCACCCAAAACCCAAAUAGAGACAGCAAUUUACAAGGGAGGGUUCACCAAAAAAAUUAGGACUGUCCCCAACAAGGGUUCAGUUUUCCUCCUCAUUAGCCCAUUUAUAAAGACGGCCAGCCACUGACUCUGCACAUAAAAUAUGAAACGUGUUAUAAUCCAGCCACGCUGGAAAAUGUAAAAA